rnacentral:tRNA from 1 species
GCUGUGGUGACCGAGUGGUUAAGGCGUUGGACUUGAAAUCCAAUGGGGUUUCCCUGCGCAGUUUCAAACCCUGCUCACAGUC